CCCCUCCAGGGAAGGCAGAGCAGAAGGGAGCCUGAAGCCUCACCAGGGAGGAAUUGCAGUUGCUUAAGGUCCUCAGCUCUGAAACCUCAGGAAUCUACACCACCCUGCUCCAACCAAGCUGGAAGUUCAUCGAUGAAGCAUCAACCCUUGCUGGGCUUCUCCAAACGUCCAGAGUCACCCCAGCCACUUCUCAGCAGCACUCCAGUACCAAGGGGUGACCCCAGGGGCCAGCAGUGGGACCAGUCCUGUGCAGUGUAUCACAGGAUCACCAAGGUCUUCCAGAAUCCCAGCACCCCAGAAUGGUGGAGUUGGAAGGGACCCCUGAAGAUCAUCCAGCCCAACCCCCAUCCCC